rnacentral:rRNA from 1 species
UACGGAGGAGGCAAGCGUUAUCCGGAAUUAUUGGGCGUAAAGCGUCCGUAGGUGGUUUGGUUAGUCUGCUGUUAAAGCUCGAGGCUCAACCUCGAAGGGGCAGUGGAAACUAUCAGACUGGAGAGCAGUAGGGGUAGAGGGAAUUUCCAGAGUAGCGGUGAAAUGCGUAGAGACUGGAAAGAACACCAAUGGCGAAGGCACUCUACUGGGCUGCUUCUGACACUCAUGGACGAAAGCUAGGGGAGCGAAACGG